UACGAAGGGGGCUAGCGUUGCUCGGAAUCACUGGGCGUAAAGCGCACGUAGGCGGAUUGCUAAGUCAGGGGUGAAAUCCUGGAGCUCAACUCCAGAACUGCCUUUGAUACUGAGGAUCUUGAGUUCGGGAGAGGUGAGUGGAACUGCGAGUGUAGAGGUGAAAUUCGUAGAUAUUCGCAAGAACACCAAUGGCGAAGGCGGCUCACUGGCCCGAUACUGACGCUGAUGCGCGAAAGCCAGGGGAGCGAACGGG
rnacentral:rRNA from 1 species